GUGAUGAUGGAUCGAUCAUCCUUUUGCUCGUACUUCUUGACAAUAUUUUGGAUUCUUGUUCACCACCUACAUCUGUGGUUAUGGUUACCAAUGUCCCACUUGUGGGUUGCUGAAAUGGUGCCACCCUGAUUUUUUGUGUGAUGUACUGUAGGCAGAAAGCUAAUUUUGUACAGAGAGAUCAUGUUGAAGGCGACAGGCAUUAAGAUAGUGAUGGGCAUGAGGGAAUUUGUUUGUUUAUAAGACUAUCAGCUAGUGAAGUAGAAGAAUGGGCAUAAGUUUCUCGCUUGCAUCAGAUUGAGCUGGUUGUUCAUCAGAAAGGAUAGUGAAGAACAGGAAAAAGGAAGUAGAAAGUUACCUGUUAUGGUCACAAUAUGAGGAGGGCCUAAUAAUGGUGGACAUCACUUUGCCUGACUCACACCUGUUAUCUGUGGUUUGAAGCAGUCUUUCUCUGCACUGGCCGCAGUCUCCUGAGUCUGAAACUCCUCUGGCUCCAUCAGCACUUCUAGGACGCAUGAUGAGGGUGCCAAGGGGAGACAAGACUGGAGAUGAAGGCAGGAACUCAACAUGUUGGGUCAAGUACCGGGGCUUGUGCGUUGUUCGCAUGAGACCGCAGGCAGGGAGAUGCUGCCUUGCAGACAUGGUCGACCCACAAGCCACGAGUCGCAUCAGCAGGUUGGCAGGGUUCAGCUUAGUGGCCAAUGACUGCACUGCUUCCUUGUCAUCGUCCUCUUCUAGGAUCCUCUUAGCAGUGGCACCCCUUCUGCCAAGAGCCUCAGCCCUUAUCAGGGACUCCAAGGUCCCAGUCCUACCACUUCUGCCAGAGGAGAAAGAUCCUGCAUUUCCUGGUUGCUUGUCGUUGGUAGGUAUGGUUGCCUUGGCUGGUGUGCUAUCAGUAGUGCAACUAGUGUCCUUGUGAAGCUCGUUCCCUGUUGAUGUUCCUUGGGUCUGUGUCGCCAAGUCUUGUGCUGCUGCGAUGACAGAGCUGCACCCUGGCAUCCUCUGCUUGUUGUGAAGCACAGGGCUAGAUGGAAUGGGAGAGCUCGCGCCACUUGAGGAUCCUUUUGUUGUUGGCUUAUUAGGGGAGGAGGGGCAGCCUGAACAGCUUGAACGGGCUGAUGUUGUCUCAUCUCCAUCCCCAAUGGUGCAACAAGAUGAUGGUGAUAUGGAUGAUAGUGCUGUCUGUGACCCUUGGUGCAGAGCUAGAGGUGGUGCUUCAUCCUCAAUCUCGACCUUAACCGUGGGAGGAGAUGAUGAUGAUGAAUUAGCAGUCCAGCCUUCUUGCGAAUGAGUUGGUGACUCUUCAUCAGGAUUCGGCUUGACACGUGGGACCUUUGGAAUAAUGGUUGUGUCAACAUUUGGCUGGUCAUGAUCUGAAGCAAGAGAAAACAAUAUGGAGGCAUGCAAUAAGUAAGUAAAUCCAAUAAUUUCUUAGCCAAGAAGAUCAGAUGGAGGCAUGCAAUAACUACAACUAUAGGUGGUGUUGAGUGGCGGAGAGGCAAGAGGGAUCCCUUGAGGACAUACUCGCUUUCCUGGGCGGGGAGCAGCAUAUCACCCUCCAUCACAUCAUGCCACACGAAUCCGGACCAGGAAUACAUGGUGGCCAUGCCCUUCCCUCGCAGCGCGUCCAGCCGGUAGAUCACAUCUCUGAGGUAGAGGGCUUGAUUUGGGGAGGCGAGCUGCAUCUCCAUCAUGUGUGGGUGCUCCAGGUGACGUCCGCUGCGGCACAGGUAGUACACCACCGUCACAGGCACACCACCUUCACCUGGGCUGCUGCAGCGCCUCCUUGGUGCCAUUCCCUCCAUCUUUGCCACUUCCUCCUCCGAUGACAUGGUGACUUCUCUGCCGUUCCCUCUAUACUGGCUGAUCCAAGCAACUUGGAAGCAAGCGCUUAAUUGCAGAAACAGAAUGGUGCUACCUAUCUGCAGCAGGAAAUGGCAAUGAUGGUUCCUCACCUUGUGUUUAAAAGAAGCAAGGGGUGGUGAAGAAGCUAGCGAAAGGGAUGAGAUUGACAGGAGAGUCUGGAGGCGUGGGGCAGACACUUAUUGCAGCAUGAUUAGAGGCUGGGCUUCGCUUGUAGGAGUAGUAGAGCAGCAGCAGCCAGAAGGAGGCAUGCAUACGGGUGAGCUAGCUGCUGCAGUGCUGGUUGCUACCAGCACUCACUUGGAUCUCACUGGUGUUACUGCUUGCUGGCCUGUCCUCACAGGCAUACAGCGCAGGUACGAGAAAGUAAUAACGAGAGCAGGACUAUAGGAGUAUAGUACACUAGUGCAGUACAGUUUGGGUUAGUUGGGAGGCUAUACAUUGGAUUAUAUUUACUUACCGAGUGUUGAGCAAAUUUAAUACUAGUAUAGCCUGUAUAGGCAGUAGUUUACUCCA